rnacentral:rRNA from 1 species
UACGAAGGGGGCUAGCGUUGCUCGGAAUCACUGGGCGUAAAGGGUGCGUAGGCGGGGUCUUUUAAGUCAGGGGGUGAAAUCCUGGAGCUCAACUCCAGAACUGCCUUUGAUACUGAGGAUCUUGAGUUCGGGAGAGGUGAGUGGAACUGCGAGUGUAGAGGUGAAAUUCGUAGAUAUUCGCAAGAACACCAGUGGCGAAGGCGGCUCACUGGCCCGAUACUGACGCUGAGGCACGAAAGCGUGGGGAGCAAACAGG